CGCAUUACGCAUCAUCAUUACAGUUCUUCUUGUCAAUCAUGAAAUCCCCUCGCUCGGCAACCAAACAUGACAAUGAUGCAAUCAAUAUAUCAUAUAUCGUAUUACAGGUCUGCUGUACUGCAAAAUCGGAAAAACGAGCGCAGAUGGAGGAUAGGUAAGGUGAAGGACGGCAUGGACUGCACGCUUAUGAUCCCAUCCAAAUCCAAAGGACGUAUCCAAAUCGAAUGAAUCGAUCGAAACUCAAAGGAUAAUAAGGGAGGAUGAUAGCAGGGGAAUGAUGAAAGGAGAGGAAUAGCGAUGCCGACGCCGAAGUAUGGCUGGAAACCACAUGGUAGAAAUGAGAAGCUCAGAAUAACGGAUGACCUCUACUACCAUCCUAUACUCCUUUCAUGGCCGGGCAAAACAUAUAGGAGAUACUUAGAUAGCAUGACUUUGGACGAGUGGCUAUACUAUACAUGGUCGAGAAC
rnacentral:sRNA from 1 species